GUGCUCACCUCGGCAGCACAUACACUAAAAGUUGGAACUAUACAGAGAAGAUUAGCAUGGCCCCUGUGCAAGGAUGACAGGCAAAUUCGUGAAGUGUUCCGUAUAAAA
rnacentral:snRNA from 1 species